rnacentral:rRNA from 1 species
GAUGAACGCUGGCGGCGUGCCUAAUACAUGCAAGUCGAGCGAACAGACGAGGAGCUUGCUCCUCUGACGUUAGCGGCGGACGGGUGAGUAACACGUGGAUAACCUACCUAUAAGACUGGGAUAACUUCGGGAAACCGGAGCUAAUACCGGAUAAUAUAUUGAACCGCAUGGUUCAAUAGUGAAAGACGGUUUUGCUGUCACUUAUAGAUGGAUCCGCGCCGCAUUAGCUAGUUGGUAAGGUAACGGCUUACCAAGGCGACGAUGCGUAGCCGACCUGAGAGGGGGAUCGGCCACACUGGAACUGAGACACGGUCCAGACUCCUACGGGAGGGAGCAGUAGGGAAUAUUACGCAAAGGGGGGAAGCCUGACCGAGCCAAGCCGGGUGGGUGAAGAAGGUCUUCCGGCCGGAAAACCCUUUUUUUAGGGAAGAAAAAAAGGGGAAGUAAACACUGCAGUUCUGACGGUAACCAAAGAAAAAGCCCCGGCUAACUUCGUG